rnacentral:rRNA from 1 species
GACGAACGCUGGCGGCGUGCUUAACACAUGCAAGUCGAACGGAAAGGCCCUGCUUGCAGGGUACUCGAGUGGCGAACGGGUGAGUAACACGUGGGUGAUCUGCCCUGCACUUCGGGAUAAGCCUGGGAAACUGGGUCUAAUACCGGAUAGGAGCCAUCUUUAGUGUGAUGGUUGGAAAGUUUUUUCGGUGUAGGAUGAGCUCGCGGCCUAUCAGCUUGUUGGUGGGGUAAUGGCCUACCAAGGCGGCGACGGGUAGCCGGCCUGGGAGGGUGGACGGCCACAUUGGGACUGAGAUACGGCCCAGACUCCUACGGGGGGCAGCAGUGGGGAAUAUUGCACAAUGGGGGCAAGCCUGAUGCAGCGACGCCGCGUGGGGGAUGACGGCCUUCGGGGUGUAAACUCCUUUCGCUAGGGACGAAGCUUUUUGUGACGGUACCUAGAUAAGAAGCACCGGCUAACUACGUG